AGAGUUUGAUCCUGGCUCAGGAUGAACGCUGGCGGUGUGCCUUAUACAUGCAAGUCGAACGAUGAAGCAGAGCUUGCUCUGUGGAUUAGUGGCAAACGGGUGAGUAAUAGAUAGGUAACCUUCCUUGAAGAUGGGGAUAUACGGUAGAAAUACCGGGCAAUACCCAAUAAUGUCAUUUCCCUUAAGGGUUAUGAAGAAAGAUGCAAAUCGCUUUGAGACGGACUUAUCUCCUAUCAGCUAGUUGGUGAGGUAAUGGCUCACCAAGGCUACGACGGGUAGCUGGUCUGAGAGGACGGUCAGCCACAUUGGGACUGAGACACGGCCCAGACUCCUACGGGAGGCAGCAGUCGGGAAUAUUCGGCAAUGGGCGAAAGCCUGACCGAGCGACACCGCGUGAAUGACGAAGGCCUUCGGGUCGUAAAAUUCUUUUACUUGGGAAGAACGCAUAGCAAUAUGUUUGACGGUACCAAGUGAAUAAGCCCCAGCUAACUACGUGCCAGCAGCUGCGGUAAUACGUAGGGGGCGAGCGUUAUCCGGAAUCACUGGGCGUAAAGGGUCCGUAGGCGUCCUGUUAAGUUAGGAGUUAAAUCGCAAGGCUCAACCUUGCGGCUGCUCCUAAUACUGGCAGGAUAGAGGGUAGGAGACGGAAGUGGAAUUCCUGGUGGAGAGGUAAAAUCCGUAGAUAUCAGGAGGAACACCUGUGGCGUAGGCGGCUUCCGAGUCUACUCCUGACGCUGAUGGACGAAAGCUAGGGGAGCAAACAGGAUUAGAUACCCUGGUAGUCCUAGCUGUAAACGAUGAAUACUUGGUAGUGGAUUGUACACACUUUUCACCGCCGAAGCUAACGCGUUAAGUAUUCCGCCUGGGAAGUACGGCCGCAAGGUUGAAACUCAAAGGAAUUGACGGGUCCCCGCACAAGCCGAGGCAUGUGGAUUAAUUCGAUGCAACACGAAGAACCUUACCUGGGCUUGACAUGUUUUGGAAAGCCGUAUGAAAGUAUGGCCCUUUUAGGUUUACCUAAAACCGAUUCACAGGUGGUGCAUGGUUGUCGUCAGCUCGUGUCGUGAGAUGUAAGGUUAAGUCCUUAAACGAGCGCAACCUCUGUCGCUAGUUGCCACCAGUUCGGCUGAGCACUCUAGCGAGACCGCUAGCGAUAAGCUAGAGGAAGAUGGAGAUGACGUCAAAUCCUCACGUCCCUUAUGUCCAGGGCUUCACACAUGCGACAAUGGUAGAGACAGCAGGUUGCGACGAGGUAACUCUGAGCUAAUCCUUAAACUCUGCCUCAGUACAGAUCGAGGGCUGAAAUUCGGCCUCGUGAAGAUGGAGUUGCUAGUAAACGCAGGUCAGCUAUACUGCGUUGAAUACGUUCCCGGGGAUUGUACACACCGCCCGUCACACCACCCGAGUCGUGUGCACCCGAAGUCGGAUACCCCAACCUUUUAGGAGGGGACUGCCGAAGGUGUGCUCGGUAAGGAGGGUGAAGUCGAAACAAGGCA
rnacentral:rRNA from 1 species